AAACAAUAAUGGGAUGUGGUUACUGAGUGAAACUAUCUCGUGUCCAUUACAUAUGUACUAAGUUGUUUGGAUGCAGUAGACAACGUUAACUUCUGUCUCAACUUAAUCUCACGUUUUUACUCACUUUGCGAAGAAAGGGAUUUUAGCUUGACCUGAAACUGCGCAAAGCUCUUGAUAUUUUUGGGUGGAGUUGACCUGAGCAACAGAUAAACGAGGAUAGGAAAAAUAAAUAUUGAGAAAGAAAUACUCAAUACGGAAUCAGACAAGCAGGAGGAUCAGUCCAGAGAGGGAAGAAAGAUGAAGACUUUAGCGGUUGUUCUGGUGCUUGCAUUGGCCUUCAGCUUUGGAAAAGCUCUGAGGUGCAACAAGCAGUUUAAUAUAAUGGGAGCCGGUUUUACCACGGUGGUGACUUGCAAGGGACCCAGCGAAAUGUGCGCCGAAGUGCUGCUCAAACCUCCCUACCCCAACCACAAAAGUAGCUUCAGAAAUUGCAUGGAGUGGACCGAAUGCCAAAAGUUGCGUCUUAAGCCUAAACUUUGGACGGUCAGAUGCUGUGGGACAGACCUCUGCAACUAAGGCCCAGCGCUGGGGUCGGAGGUCACCAAGGUUACAUCUCUACCAGGGCUAUUCCCAUUUUGAAAUGGGCCAUUUCCCUUUCUGUACCAUCUUUAGUGAGGAAGUGGAUUGACAUGCAUCACAAUAAAGCUGUUAUGAAUCUGUAAAAAUGUA